GCAAAAGAAAAAAGAAAAAAACUUCACGCGCAUACAUUUAGACAGGGUGAUCCCUGCGCGUGACCCCUGACAAUAGACCAAUGCAAAUGCGACUUUCGUUUUCAAGUUUCAUUUUCUUUACUUCCAGAAAAAGCUGAAGGUCUUCUGAUGUCAUUUCCUGUGUUGUCAAAAACAAACGUACGCUUGGCGAGAUUGCAUAAAAAUGUUCCAGCAGUCCUAAGGAUAUGUGGUAAAUCACUAAAGUUUAGUUAGCUAAUUUAGAAUGUUUAAUAUGUGUCUGUCUUCAACGAAGCUACUCUAUCGUGUCCUAGUGUUUUCUAAAUGAAAAUGUCUUCAUGUCACGUUUAGUUUCCUCAAGUUUACUGUCAAUCAAUCCAUCUAUCUCUUCAUCAAUAUCCAGAAACUUAGUGCUGUUAUCAGCAUAAGGUUCCAGAAUGCAAAAAUGUUCUUAAACAAAGUGCAAACGUGAUUCACUCCCUCCCUCUAAUCAUUGCAUUCGGUUUUCUAGUCCAUAGGUAUUUCACGACAAUACAAUGUAUAUGAUAGUGUACAGUAUACAUAUAGUUUGCAUUUCUUUCCAGUAUUCAUUGUUGAGGUGCAAGAAGAGCAAUAGUAACACUCAUCAGCUCACAAAAAUUGAUGCCAGAUUUUCUGAUAUUUUUCUGUACAGCGGACUCAUUCCUUUGACAAAGACAAGAUACUUCUUCUGUGAACGAUAUGCUUCAAGAUACCCAGUGCUCAGACAUCUGCAAAGAUGUAUUGCUGUCUCAGUUAUCAGUGGACCUACCUGGUUAUCAUCGUUUUGGAGAGAAAAACACAUGUCACAUUCCAAUGAAGUCCCAUCAAUCUCAGUUACUUUGUCGCUUAAGUUCAGUUGUCGACAUGGACACAGACAAAUUUAUGUUCAGAUCAUCACUAAUAGCAUCAGAAGUAGGAAAGUCUGACAGAUGAACCACAUAGACAAACAUCCGAUAGACUUACAGAUCUAGCGACUCCAUCCAAAUAAAAAUCAAUGUAUAGUCAUGUGUCUAGCGUCCAAUUAUUGUAAAAGGUCAGAUGCGAUGGAUAUGUGAAGCUUAAAAGAAAACGAUUCCAGUGCAACUACUGUACUACCGGAUAAACUACGUAUUGGAUAUUCAAAGAAUUGCACAGUAAAACGUUCCGCUUACAGGUGUAAAAUAAAUAUAAUUUAUUUAUGAGACAAAAAGGACUACAUUUCUGUGCGGAAGGAUUAAAAAACUACACCAGACUGGCGGCCAUGACAG
rnacentral:misc_RNA from 1 species